CAUGUAGUCCCUCCGUCCAACAAAGGAUGUCUCAAUUUUGAUCAAAUUUGAAUGCAUCUAUACACUAAGUCAUGUCUAGAUACAUCCAAAUUUUGACAAACUUGAGACAUCUUUUGUUGGACGGAGGUAAUAAGAA
rfam:Brachypodium distachyon strain Bd21 chromosome 4, whole genome shotgun sequence.